UACGGGGGGGGCAAGCGUUGUUCGGAAUUACUGGGCGUAAAGGGUUCGUAGGUGGCUCGCUAAGUCAGACGUGAAAUCCCUCAGCUUAACUGGGGAACUGCGUCUGAGACUGGCAAGCUCGAGUGCAGGAGAGGAACGCGGAAUUCCAGGUGUAGCGGUGAAAUGCGUAGAUAUCUGGAGGAACACCGGUGGCGAAGGCAGUGUCCUGGGGAGUACCUGACGCUCAGGUGCGAAAGCCAGGGGAGCGAACGGG
rnacentral:rRNA from 1 species